GACGUCGAUAUUCGACGUCAUAAACACGAUCAACUUUGGUGUUUAUGACGUCGAUAUUCGGCGUCAUAAACACGAUCAACUUUGGUGUUUAUGACGUCGAUAUUCGACGUCAUAAACACGAUCAACUUUGGUGUUUAUGACGUCGAUAUUCGACGUCAUAAACACGAACAAGUUUGGUGUUUAUGAUGUCGAUAUUCGACGUCAUAAACACGAUCAACUUUGGUGUUUAUGACGUCGUUAUUCGACGUC
rnacentral:miRNA from 1 species